GGGUCGGGGGGGGAGGGAGUGGUGGCGUGGGGUGGGGAGUGAAGGGAGAUGCGACCGAGCAGAAAAGCGGCAAACAGUUUUUCUCUUUUGUGGUAAAUCAAGAAAAUAGAUAUUUUUAAAAGAAAGAUAUUGACCAAAAUAAUGGCCGGGGGGGGGGGUUGCAAGUUGACAAUUUCUGACUGAAGGAAAAUUUAAACUUACUCCAGACUAGUCCAAACAAACAAGACGUGUGUUCACGAAAGUAAUAGUAAGAAAUUCAUCCGGCUCAUCUUGCAUUGUAAACAGAAUCCUUUUGGAUAGUAGUCCAGUUUCAUUUUACCACUUCACUCAGAUCUGAAAGAAUGAACUGAGUUUAGCAAUCGACUUUAGUCGUAUACACGAUCUUAACAACUUGGGUGAGAGGAACCGAUUCAUUUUAACAAGCAAGAGUUUUGUUUUAAAAGAGAAGAAAUAUAUUUUCUAGUGGUAGUUAACCCGUUAUACUCGAACAAUUUAAGCGUAUUAUUCUCUUCUUUACAGGGUUGCGAAAGAGUUUACAGAUGUAACACAGAUCUCAUUUAAAUCUCUGAUCUCCAGGUGCAGACGCUGAAUAGUCUGUGCCAGAGCCCCAACAGCAUGUUUUCCUUUCCAGCAGAUUUUCCUUGGACCUCUCUCAAACCGAGUCUCGUGGUUUUGUUUACACUGAAUGGAGAGUAUAGCAGCGGUACCAUGGGGCCGUCUUUCAUUAAUAUACAGUGAGGAUUUUGUCUAAAUUACUGCCACGAAUUUCACAGUACACGCAUUUAAAGAUGUCUCAGGUGGACUACUGAAAGCCGCAUGUGCCGCCAAAAAGAACUGCGUUAAAAAAAACUCUUAAGGUCAAUGACAAUGUAGGGAAAGACCUGAAUGUAUUUGUCUUUAAAAAAUCCUUAAAUUGUUUUCCCACCAAGAAAAAAGUAAAACAUCAGAGAACAAUUUGUACUGAUUUACAUUUGCAUAAAUUUUCAUAUAUUUUGGUGAAAAUAAUAGACUAGCGAAAGUCGGGCUCAGUGAAGCCAGUAUAAGGGCACAUCCUAGCGAGGAUCGACCAGGAACAAUUCGGAGCGAAGGUAAAAGGCAAAAUCAGUAAUCCAAAUACGCGAAACUUUUCUAUGCUAUUUACCAGUUGAAAGCGGCUAUCCCGUUGCGUUGAGACCAAGGCCAACUCUACACUUGAUGUACCUGCCAUCUACUGAAGUUCUCUGAUGCAUUGCCCACAGAGAAGUGGCUUCUCUAAUCACCCAAAUGUGAUGUAAGGUUCCCCACAAGGUUAACUUAAACUUGUUGAUCUGUCCUGAUGUCAAGAGCUUGUUGUUUCGGAGACAGCCCUCAGCAGAAUCGAAAAGAUCAGUAAUCUGAAAAAAAAAGUAUAAUUUGAGCAAAAAACCACAGCAUUUUCAGAAUUCAGCUUUUGAAGCAUUUGAAAUGGUGCAUUUAAGAUUCCCACAAGGAGCAUGCAAAGGGCUGUAAGCAUGGAUGACUACACCCUCCAACUAUCAUAACUGCCACCCUUAAGGGUGUAGACAAAUGCAUGUGUUUAUAGUGAGUAUCAGUUUAAAACAGUCCUCCAAAA